GGCGAACGCUGGCGGCGUGCUUAACACAUGCAAGUCGAGCGGAAAGGCCACUUCGGUGGUACUCGAGCGGCGAACGGGUGAGUAACACGUGAGUAAUCUGCCCUUUGCUUUGGGAUAGCCACCGGAAACGGUGAUUAAUACCGGAUACGACCACUCCAGGCAUCUGGUGGUGGUGGAAAGUUUUUCGGCCAGGGAUGUGCUCGCGGCCUAUCAGCUUGAUGGUGAGGUAAUGGCUCACCAUGGCUUCGACGGGUAGCCGGCCUGAGAGGGUGACCGGUCACACUGGGACUGAGGCACGGCGCAGACUCCUACGGGAGGCAGCAGUGGGGAAUAUUGGACAAUGGGAGGAAGCCUGAUCCAGCAACGCCGCGUGAGGGAUGACGGCCUUCGGGUUGUAAACCUCUUUCGGUAGGGACGAAGCGCAAGUGACGGUACCUACUAAAGAAGCACCGGCCAACUACGUG
rnacentral:rRNA from 1 species